AAUAAAGUAGGAUAAUUUUAGUCCAAUAGGUUCAUACCCUGUAAGUAUUUUUCUUUAUUA
rnacentral:tRNA from 1 species